rnacentral:rRNA from 1 species
UACGGAGGGUGCAAGCGUUAUCCGGAUUCACUGGGUUUAAAGGGUGCGUAGGUGGGCUUGUAAGUCAGCGGUGAAAUCUCCGGGCUUAACCCGGAAACUGCCAUUGAUACUAUAGGUCUUGAAUUAUCUGGAGGUGAGCGGAAUAUGUCAUGUAGCGGUGAAAUGCUUAGAUAUGACAUAGAACACCAAUUGCGAAGGCAGCUUACUACAGGGACAUUGACACUGAGGCACGAAAGCGUGGGGAUCAAACAGG